UACGUAGGGGGCUAGCGUUGUCCGGAAUCAUUGGGCGUAAAGCGCGUGUAGGCGGCCCGAUAAGUCCGCUGUGAAAGUCCAGGGCUCAACCCUGGGAUGCCGGUGGAUACUGUCGGGCUCGAGUCCGGAAGAGGCGAGUGGAAUUCCUGGUGUAGCGGUGAAAGUGCGCAGAUAUCAGGAGGAACACCAAUGGCGAAGGCAGCUCGCUGGGACGUGACUGACGCUGAGACGCGAAAGCGUGGGAGCAACAGG
rnacentral:rRNA from 1 species